AGGAAGUAGUGUAGUGGAAGCACUAAGA
rnacentral:tRNA from 5 species